CUGGCCUUGACAUCCAGAGAACUUUCCAGAGAUGGAUUGGUGCCUUCGGGAACUCUGAGACAGGUGCUGCAUGGCCGUCGUCAGCUCGUGUCGUGAGAUGUUGGGUUAAGUCCCGUAACGAGCGCAACCCCUAUCCCUGGUUGCUAGCAGGUAAUGCUGAGAACUCCAGGGAGACUGCCGGUGACAAACCGGAGGAAGGUGGGGAUGACGUCAGGUCAUCAUGGCCCUUACGGCCAGGGCUACGCACGUGCUACAAUGGCGCGUACAGAGGGCUGCCAACUCGCGAGAGUGAGCCAAUCCCUUAAAACGCGUCGUAGUCCGGAUCGGAGUCUGCAACUCGACUCCGUGAAGUCGGAAUCGCUAGUAAUCGCGAAUCAGAAUGUCGCGGUGAAUACGUUCCCA
rnacentral:rRNA from 1 species